GAUGAACGCUGGCGGCGUGCCUAAUACAUGCAAGUCGAGCGAACAGACGCGGCGCUUGCUCCUCUGACGUUAGCGGCGGACGGGUGAGUCACACGUGUAUAACCUACCUAUAAGACUGGGAUAAUUUCGAGAAACCGGCUCUAAUACCGGAUAACAUCUUGAACCGCAUGGUUCAACAGUGAAAGACGGCCUUGCUGUCACUUAUAGCUGGAUCUGGGCCGCAUUAGCUAGUUGGUAAGGUAACGGCCUACUAAGGCUACGAUGCGUAGCCGACCUGAGAGGGGGAUAGGCGACACGGGAACGGAGACACGGUCCAGACGCCUACGGGAGGCAGCAGUAGGGAAUCGUCCGCAAUGGGCGAAAGCCUGACGGAGUAACGCCGCGUGAGUGAAGAAGGUCUUCGGAGCGUAAAACUCUGUUAUUAGGGAAGAACAAAUGUGUAAGUAACUAUGCACGUCGUGACGGUACCGAAUCAGAAAGCCACGGCUAACUACGUG
rnacentral:rRNA from 1 species